rnacentral:rRNA from 1 species
CCUACGGGAGGCUGCAGUAAGGAAUAUUGGUCAAUGGGCGAAAGCCUGAACCAGCCACGCCGCGUGAAGGAAGACGGCCUACGGGUUGUAAACUUCUUUUCUACGGGAAUAGGUACGUAGGAAUAAGGAUCGGCUAACUCCGUGCCAGCAGCCGCGGUAAUACGGAGGAUCCAAGCGUUAUCCGGAUUUAUUGGGUUUAAAGGGUGCGUAGGUGGGAUGAUAAGUCAGAGGUGAAAGCUAGCAGCUUAACUGUUAAAUUGCCUUUGAUACUGUUAUUCUUGAGUAUAGUGGAGUUGGCGGAAUGUGACAUGUAGCGGUGAAAUGCGUAGAUAUGUCACAGAACACCGAUCGCGAAGGCAGCUAACUAAACUAUACUGACACUGAUGCACGAAAGCGUGGGGAGCAAACAGGAUUAGAUACCCUUGUAGUC